GGAAGUAAAAGUCGCAACAAGGUCUCCGUUGGUGAACCAGCGGAGGGAUCAUUACAGGACUCGCAAGACUCCUUCACCCUGUGAACCUCACUACAAGCACGUUGCUUCGGCGGGUGUCCCGGCGGGGGUUUUCCCUCGCCGGGGCGCACAGCCCGCCGGCAGCCUACUAUACUCUGUCUCUUUGCGUUGGCAUCUCGAGAAAAAACAAACAAGUUAAAACUUUCAACAACGGAUCUCUUGGUUCUG
rnacentral:misc_RNA from 1 species